AUACAGAGGGUGCAAGCGUUGUUCGGAAUCAUUGGGCGUAAAGAGCACGUAGGCGGUUUGGUAAGUCGGAUGUGAAAGCCCAGGGCUCAACCUUGGAAGUGCAUUCGAAACUGCCUCACUAGGGUCACGGAGAGGGUAGUGGAAUUCCCAGUGUAGAGGUGAAAUUCGUAGAUAUUGGGAGGAACACCAGCGGCGAAGGCGGCUACCUGGACGAUGACUGACGCUGAGGUGCGAGAGCGUGGGGAGCAAACAGGAUUAGAAACCCUAGUAGUCC
rnacentral:rRNA from 1 species